UCCGUUAUGGUGUAGUGGCUAACAUUAUCGCCUCUCAUCUCCUACAUUUGCCCAGUUUGAUGCGCGAUAGCCCAGGGUUCGAUUCCCUGUAACGGAA
rfam:Moniliophthora roreri MCA 2997 sctg_0371_0004, whole genome shotgun sequence.